rnacentral:rRNA from 1 species
GACGAACGCUGGCGGCGUGCCUAAUACAUGCAAGUAGAACGCUGAAGGAGGAGCUUGCUUCUCUGGAUGAGUUGCGAACGGGUGAGUAACGCGUAGGUAACCUGCCUGGUAGCGGGGGAUAACUAUUGGAAACGAUAGCUAAUACCGCAUAAGAGUAGAUGUUGCAUGACAUUUACUUAAAAGGUGCAAUUGCAUCACUACCAGAUGGACCUGCGUUGUAUUAGCUAGUUGGUGAGGUAACGGCUCACCAAGGCAACGAUACAUAGCCGACCUGAGAGGGUGAUCGGCCACACUGGGACUGAGACACGGCCCAGACUCCUACGGGAGGCAGCAGUAGGGAAUCUUCGGCAAUGGACGGAAGUCUGACCGAGCAACGCCGCGUGAGUGAAGAAGGUUUUCGGAUCGUAAAGCUCUGUUGUAAGAGAAGAACGAGUGUGAGAGUGGAAAGUUCACACUGUGACGGUAUCUUACCGGAAAGGGACGGCUAACUACGUG